rnacentral:rRNA from 1 species
AUUGAACGCUGGCGGCAUGCUUUACACAUGCAAGUCGAACGGUAACAGGGAGCUUGCUCCGCUGACGAGUGGCGAACGGGUGAGUAAUGCGUCGGAACGUGCCGAGUAGUGGGGGAUAACGCAUCGAAAGGUGUGCUAAUACCGCAUACGUACUGAGGUAGAAAGUGGGGGACCUUCAGGCCUCAUGCUAUUCGAGCGGCCGACGUCUGAUUAGCUAGUUGGUGAGGUAAAGGCUCACCAAGGCGACGAUCAGUAGCGGGUCUGAGAGGAUGAUCCGCCACACUGGGACUGAGACACGGCCCAGACUCCUACGGGAGGCAGCAGUGGGGAAUUUUGGACAAUGGGCGCAAGCCUGAUCCAGCCAUGCCGCGUGUCUGAAGAAGGCCUUCGGGUUGUAAAGGACUUUUGUCCGGGAGCAAAUGCUGGUGGCUAACAUCCACCGGAGCUGAGAGUACCGGAAGAAUAAGCACCGGCUAACUACGUGCCAGCAGCCGCCGUAAUAC